ACGGCCUCACCAUUUUCCAUUUCCUUUGUAACUUUUCUCACCUUCAAAUCCUUUGAGGAUGCCUGUGUUUUAAGAAGUUGCUCUAGUGGCUCUUCUUUUCUUCUUUUCAUUUUCUCUUCGUGGGCUAGUAAAGAACCUUCCAAUUGUUCUACCGUCAUAAAAUCUAAAUCUUUAGACUCAUCAAUAACACACACCACAUAAUUAAAUUUAGGUGUUAAAGAAUGAAGGAUCUUUUCUACCGCAUGCAAAUCAUCUACUUCCUCCCCGUAUCUUCUUAGUUAAUUUACAACAACCAUCAAUCUUGAACAGAAAUCUGAAAUGGAUUCAGAUUCUUUCAUUUUUAAAACUUCAAAGUCAGCCCUUAGAGAUUGAGGUUUUAUCUUCUUUACUUUAUCAACUCCUUGAAGAGAAUUUUGUAAAAUCUCCCAAGCUUCUUUUGAGGUGGUGGCAUCAACCACCUUCUCAAACAUGCCA
rnacentral:lncRNA from 1 species